UGGUUACAAUAGCAGAGAGGAUACACCUGUUCCCAUUCCGAACACAGAAGUUAAGCUCUCUAGCGCUGAUGGUACUGGUACUAUUUUUAAAGUAUGUUAUAAAUGCU
rnacentral:rRNA from 1 species